GAUGAACGCUGGCGGCGUGCCUAAUACAUGCAAGUCGAGCGAUCAGACGAGGAGCUUGCUCCUCUGACGUUAGCGGCGGACGGGUGAGUAACACGUGGAUAACCUACCUAUAAGACUGGGAUAACUUCGGGAAACCGGAGCUAAUACCGGAUAAUAUAUUGAACCGCAUGGUUCAAUAGUGAAAGACGGUUUUGCUGUCACUUAUAGAUGGAUCCGCGCCGCAUUAGCUAGUUGGUAAGGUAACGGCUUACCAAGGCAACGAUGCGUAGCCGACCUGAUAGGGUGAUCGGCAACACUGGAACUGAGACACGGACCAGACUCCUACGGGAGGCAGCAGUAGGGAAUAUUCCGCAAUGGGCGAAAGCAUGACGGAGCAACGCCGCGUGAGUGAUGAAGGACUUCGGAUCGUAAAACUCUGUUAUUAGGGAAGAACAAAUGUGUAAGUAACUAUGCACGUAUUGACGGUACCUAAUAAGAAAGCAACGGCUAACUACGUG
rnacentral:rRNA from 1 species